rnacentral:Y_RNA from 1 species
GUCUGGUCCGAGUGCAGUAGCGUUUACAACUAAUUGAUCACAAGCAGUUACAGAUCUCUUUGUUCCUUCUCCACUUCUACUGCUUCACUUGACUUGCCUAAA